UGCCAGCAGCCGCGGUAACACGAACCGUACGAACGUUAUUCGGAAUCACUGGGCUUAAAGCGUGCGUAGGCGGCCUAGCAAGUUGGGUGUGAAAGCCCUCGGCUCAACCGAGGAAUUGCGCCCAAAACUGCUAGACUUGAGGAAGAUAGAGGUGAGCGGAACUGAUGGUGGAGCGGUGAAAUGCGUUGAUAUCAUCAAGAACACCAAUUGCGAAGGCGACUUUCUGGCUCGUAACUGACGCUGAGGCACGAAAGCGUGGGGAGCAAACAGGAUUAGAUA
rnacentral:rRNA from 1 species